AUUGAACGCUGGCGGCGGGCCUAACACAUGCAAGUCGAGCGGAGCGACGGACGGGUGAGUAAUUCCUAGGUAUCUGCCUUGUCUUGGGGGCUCACGUCAGGACGCGGGCGCUUAUCCCGUAUCCUUUCACAUCAGCCUAGGUCGGAUUAGCUAGUUGGUGGGGUAACGGCCUACCAAGGCGACGAUCCGUAACUGGUCUGAGAGGAUGAUCAGUCACACUGGAACUGAGACACGGUCCAGACUCCUACGGGAGGCAGCAGUGGGGAAUAUUGGACAAUGGGCGAAAGCCUGAUCCAGCCAUGCCGCGUGUGUGAAGAAGGUCUUCGGAUUGUAAAGCACUUUAAGUUGGGAGGCGUUACCAACAGAAUAAGCACCGGCUAACUUCGUGCCAGCCGCCGCGGUAAUUC
rnacentral:rRNA from 1 species